UCGGGGACAUUGGUGACAGGUGGUGCAUGGUUGUCGUCAGCUCGUGUCGUGAGAUGUUGGGUUAAGUCCCGCAACGAGCGCAACCCUUGUCUUUAGUUGCCAUCAUUAAGUUGGGCACUCUAGAGGGACUGCCAGGGAUAACCUGGAGGAAGGUGGGGAUGACGUCAAAUCAUCAUGCCCCUUAUGCUUAGGGCUACACACGUGCUACAAUGGGUAGUACAGAGGGUUGCCAAGCCGUAAGGUGGAGCUAAUC
rnacentral:rRNA from 1 species